AAACCCGCGUCCCCUGCAUCGGCAGGCGGACUCUCAACCACUGCGCCACCAGGAAAGCCCAGGCCCAGCCUUAAUGUAGGCAGCACUCUCUGUGACUUCACGUCUGAUCUUGUUACCACCCCACACCCUGUAACACUCAGGAAAUGCAUGUGUCCUCCUUAACUGCCCUCCUAGCUAAGCAAUAAACAUGAACCCAUGGUAAGGGGUGAAAGGCAGAAAAUGGGUGUGACAGUGCCAUUCCUUAGGCCAACUCUCCCAGAGUCAAGGGGAUAAACAAGCCUUUAUUUAUUCAUGAGCCAGGCAAAAUAUAUAUCUUUUGUGCAGGAAUGGAUAGAUAUGGGUUUGAAUUACUCGGCUAGUUGCAUAACCAAUCCCUAUUGGUUGGUAAGGAGAAAGGUUGCUUUAAACCACAUGACCCAAGAACUCAGACAUCACUCAGAUAGGCAGGAAGGCCCCUUAAGUAUCCAGUUCUAAUGUUGAGAUCUGGAAACUGUCUCCUUUUCUGGCAUCUUCUCUCCAUCCUUGCCUUAGCUUGUUGUGGAUCAGCAGUCAUUCAUUCUUUCAACAAACAUUCAUUGAUGCUUAUACUGGGGUACAUGUUGCAGGAAAAAAGAACAUAUAAAGGAUAUAACAGGUUUAUAUGAGGUUAAGUGAUAAGGAUUUUCCUAUAUUUCUUAGAGAAAAAAAGUCAUUAUUUAAGCUAUAUACUGUCUCUUUUGGCUCUUUAUCUUUUUGUGAUUUAAAGCCAGUAAAUUAUCUUUUAAUAAAACAAAAUAUUAAGUCUCAAAAUUAUUUCUCUACUUUUAUUCCUCCACUCUAAGUUGUAGUCCCAGAGUCACUCUCUCAGAGCCUAAAAGUAGAUAAAUAAAAAGACUCUAGACAUGAACAAAUUGGGAAAAAAAAUUGAAAUGAUAAUCCAGAGUGUCAACAUUGUACCUCUUCAAGAUCCUGACACUCAAAACCAGAGUCUUUUUGUAGGUGGUACAGGUCAGAGUAGGAGGAAAUCUGGACUGGUUCUUAUAAAAUGGUAACCGUACUGGUUAGGCAAAAAGGAAAUCUUAACAUAUUUGACAAACCUGCCACAGUAUCAAAAGUGUUAGCAUCGCUAACUUUUUCUUUCUCAAAAUGAUACUUCGUGCUAAUUUGACCUCAUUUCUUCAUCAGUAGACCUAUUCAGGAAAGGAGAGCCAACUUCUGAGACUCUGUAGGAAGUGGAGAAGAGGAUGGGGGUGGGGCGUGAUGAAGCUGAUCCGUUCACCAGCCAGUCCCACAGCCAGUCAGGAGUGAAGAUUACAGUUUCUCAGGGUGGAGGGGCAGGAGGAACAUGAUCCAGCAAUUUUCCUUUAUGGGAAUGACUCUAGCAGAAAGUGAGAGGCAUUGAUGGUACUCCUAAGGCACAGCAUUUUGAUGAAUUAUCCAUUACUUUCUCUCUCCUCACUCAUACCUUUUAACACAACUGCUCACAAGAAGCAAAACAAACUGAUUUCUGUGUUCUCAUUUCUCUUAACCAUUUUCCCAUCCUGUGGCUGUGCUCUUGAACUCUGGAAGGGGGAGAAGGAAGGAAAGAGACCUGGAUCUUUCAACUUUCAAAGCAGUUCCCAGUAAUAGAGAAUUGGCUACGUGUAGCCCAGACUGAAAUAUGUGCACACACAGACAUGGAGCAUCAGGUGAGGGAGCUACAGCUACAAAUAAAACAAAACGCCUACUCUCAUAAAGCUCAUUGUCUAUGAGGAUACCAACCAAAAUUCUCCAGAUUGCUUUCAUUGCAGUUGGGUCUUAACUCCCAGCCUCCAACGGUAGACCCAGGAGAUGCCUUAGCCAAGCUCCAGUGAACAGAGUGGGGACCAGCCCAGCUAUUGACAACUCCUGGGUACCGCCUCCUUCAUAGUUAUGAACACAUACUGAUAUAUCAAAGAACCCACCAUCACCACCACCCACCCUUCCCUUCAGUACAAUUUGCUGGACUGAAAGAGCUUAUCAUUGGAUCUCCU